UACAGAGGGGGCGAGCGUUAUUCGGAAUUAUUGGGCGUAAAGGGCGCGUAGGCGGCUAAGUAAGUCUCGGGUGAAAUCCCUCGGCUCAACCGAGGAACUGCCUUGGAAACUGCUUGGCUUGAGGCCGGGAGAGGAUGGUGGAAUUCCCAGUGUAGCGGUGAAAUGCGUAGAGAUUUGGAGGAACACCAGUGGCGAAGGCGACUUUCUGGUCUGUAACUGACACUGAGGCGCGAAAGCGUGGGGAGCAAACAGG
rnacentral:rRNA from 1 species